rnacentral:rRNA from 1 species
GCAUAUCAAUAAGCCGAGGAAAAGAAACCAACAGGGAUUGCCUUAGUAACGGCGAGUGAAGCGGCAAAAGCUCAAAUUUGAAAUCGGCCAUCAGGUCGAGUUGUAAUUUGUAGAUUGUACUUUGAGAGCGGAUUAAAGUCUGUUGGAACACAGCGCCUUAGAGGGUGACAGCCCCGUUAAAAUCUAUUCUCAUUGUAAGGUACUUUCGAAGAGUCGAGUUGUUUGGGAAUGCAGCUCUAAGUGGGAGGUAAAUUCCUUCUAAAGCUAAAUAUUGACGAGAGACCGAUAGCGAACAAGUACUGUGAAGGAAAGAUGAAAAGCACUUUGAAAAGAGAGUGAAAAAGUACGUGAAAUUGUUAAAAGGGAAGGGUAUUGAAUCAGACGUGGUGCUGUUGUUCAACUUUGUUUCGGCAUGGUGUACUCAGCAGUACUAGGCCAAGGUGGGGUGUUUGGGAGUGAAAAAGGAAUAGGAACGUAGCUCUUCGGAGUGUUAUAACUUAUUUUCAUAGCUCCUCAGGCGCCUCAGGACUGCGCUUCGGCAAGGACUUUGGCAUAAUGAUUCUAUACCGCCCGUCUUGAAACACGGACC